rnacentral:lncRNA from 1 species
AGGGAAUACUCACGGCUCUGACCCUGGCCCCUGAGAUAUUUUAAAACACAGAACAUUGAAAUUUCAAGACAAUAAAAUAUCUUGUAUAUAUUCCCCAUGAUAAGGAAUAUUUGUGUUUUUUUUUAAUUGUGCCAUAUGCCCUACAUACAGCUCCAAACUUACCUCAGACUUUUCUCUCCCCUGCUUACUGUGCUUUACCUACAACAACCUGUAGCAUGAACCUUAACUGGAUCACCUGUAGACCUGCUUUUCCACAGCAUUCUUGUGCUGAGAGUGCCAUUCUGGUAGACACCAGCCAUCUCCUCUUCACAUGGUAGCCUUCACUUCACAUUCUCCAGGAAAUCAUGUGGCACCAUAGUAAUAUUGUAACCUAUCCCAUUCCAUGGAAGAGGAAUUUCUUCUUCUAUAACAAUACCAGUUUCUAAAAUAUUAUACUCAAAUUCAUGUAAUGUACCUUUCCCAUAAUAUAUGUUAAAUAAAGAUAAGGAUUUGUAUAUAUGAUUUAUUGCCAAUAGCUCUCUGAGGAAAGAAUUUCUAGAUACUUUAUACCCAACCAAUACCAUAUUCCUAAAUAAAACAUUCUCCAUUAAUGUUAUUUAAUUAUUACUCGAUCAUUUUUAUUCUCAUAGAUCCCUUUUUCUUCUCAAAUAUUGUAGACUUUUUCUUUAACAAAUGUUAGCUUAAUAUAUAUUUCUUUAAAUAUCAUAAUCAUAGUGUAUAGUAUGAACCACCUUAAAAAAUUGCAUUACCCAAAUAAAUCUGACCCCUGGUUGGGAAAAUGGACAAUGAUAAUAUGGUAACUUCUGAUAUUACUUUGAAUUAUUCACAGCAAGUAGUUUACUUAUUGCAUAAGAAAAUAAUUAAUAAAUUUUAUAGUGUAGAUUAUUGAUACUCAGAAUGGAAAGAAACAGUGAUGACUACUUAAAUUUAAAUGUAAAUGAUAUACAUGAUAAUAUUUUUCUAGGUACUAUUAAUUAUUGCAGUACAUUGAUAUUAGUUUCACUUCAUUAUUUAGAAUUGCAAAAUUUACCACAAAUUUCAUCAGGAAUUUUGUAAUGACACCAAAAGAACAUCAAAAGAUGUCCUGCUCAAGCUGUGUGUGUUUCUCAGAGUUAGCAUGGGCAUGCAUCUAAUACCCAACAUUGCAAGGAAAGUGGAGAGGGGGGAGGAGAGAGGGAGGGAAGAAGAAAAAAAAAAAGAACAAAAGUGAUCAGUGGCACCCUGGCGCCAUCAAGAUAGCUAGGUGGAUAAAGAUAUUUGCUGCAGAACCCCAACAACUACUUUCAAACCAUAAAACUCACUUAAAGGUCAAAGAAGAGAACUGAGUCCAGAGAGUUAUCUGAUGGCUUUGCGUAUGUACAUGGUAUGCAUAUGCCAAAUAUGCAUCACAUGUCAUUUAAACAUAUACAUCACAGCAUGCACACAUAGGAUGCAAGUGUUUCUCACUUGCUGCUUUCUGCCCAACAUUGAAACACAUAGUAUUCCAUGGAGUUGCCUCUGUGACCUUUAGUUUUAUUUUAUGUACCUCAGGGAAAAUUUGAAUACAUUUGUUUGAUAACUAUAUGGCACCUACCCUAUGCUAGAUAAUCUAAGAACUGAAAAUCCAGCAUAAGAAAGAAACCUUUUUCUCACUUUGAAGAGAUAAAUUUUGCUAUAUAAAACAGAGACUUUGAAUCUGUGGUCAAAUUAUAGAUUUUAAGAUUUUCCUGGAAUAAUGUUGGAAUUCCAGUGUGGACCAAAUUCAGUGACAUGUGCCCUUAUGGGAGAAAAGAUGAGAAAGGAAACACAGAGGCAGGUAAGUGUGGCUAAGCAAACAGGACUGAGGCUCCAAGCCAAAAAAAGCCCCAACCCCAGAAAUCCAAAGAUAGAAAGAACAGAUUGUCUGCUCAGACAUAGACAGCACAGCCUCUUCAUUUCAGUUUAUUUUGUUCAAGAAUACUAAUUUAAGAUUUUUGAAAUACAAAACUAUGAGAGACUAAACAUGUAUUAUUUUAGAGCAUCAAAUUUGUGUCAAUAUUCUGCAGUAUUCAUAAAGAACAAACAUAAUGACUUUAAUGACAGACACAGGCACAAGUAAUAACAUUUUAGUGAAAUAAGAGUAUAAUUGAGGUAGGGGAAAGGAAAACAACACAGAGAUAUGGCCUUACCUCUGGUAGUCUGUGAUAUAUGGUGCUACUUAGAAAAUCUAAAUUGAUCUUAUAACACAAGUAAGAGUUUUCUAAAUCAUGCAAAAUUGCAGAAAAAACAUGAAUAUGAUCAGUUUUAUUCUACAAAACUACAUUUCCACAUAUAUUUUAAGAAAAAGUUUUAAAAUUACGAAACAAUAUUCAUUGAUUUUUAGAUUUUUAAUUGGUCAUAUUCAUCAAAAAUAUAAACUGUUUUGUAUGAAUAGUAAUAUCACAUAUGGUAAAGAAUAUACAGUUUCAAUGCUA